UCCCCUUCGUCUAGUGGCCUAGGACACCGCCCUUUCACGGCGGUAACAGGGGU
rnacentral:tRNA from 1 species